rnacentral:tRNA from 1 species
GGGGGAGUGGCUCAGCGGACAGAGCAUAGCGAACCUGCAUUUGGUCCUUAUCCUAAGAACAGCGAAACGAACCUAGAAUGCCGGCUCCUAAGGUCAUGGGUUCGAAUCCCAUCUCUCCUA